rnacentral:rRNA from 1 species
AUUGAACGCUGGCGGCAGGCCUAACACAUGCAAGUCGAGCGGUAACACAGGGAGCUUGCUCCUGGGUGACGAGCGGCGGACGGGUGAGUAAUGUCUGGGAAACUGCCUGAUGGAGGGGGAUAACUACUGGAAACGGUAGCUAAUACCGCAUAACGUCGCAAGACCAAAGAGGGGGAGCUUCGGGCCUCUUGCCAUCAGAUGUGCCCAGAUGGGAUUAGCUAGUAGGUGGGGUAACGGCUCACCUAGGCGACGAUCCCUAGCUGGUCUGAGAGGAUGACCAGCCACACUGGAACUGAGACACGGUCCAGACUCCUACGGGAGGCAGCAGUGGGGAAUAUUGCACAAUGGGCGCAAGCCUGAUGCAGCCAUGCCGCGUGUAUGAAGAAGGCCUUAGGGUUGUAAAGUACUUUCAGCGGGGGGGAAGGCGUUGAGGUUAAUAACCUCAGCGAUUGACGUUACCCGCAGAAGAAGCACCGGCUAACUCCGUGCCAGCAGCCGCAGUAA